CCCUUAGAUGUUCUGGGCCGCACGCGCGCUACACUGACGAAUGCAACGAGCUUAUAACCUUGGCCGAAAGGUCUGGGUAAUCUCCAAAUUUCGUCGUGAUGGGGAUAGAUUAUUGCAAUUAUUAAUCUUCAACGAGGAAUGCCUAGUAAGCGCAAGUCAUCAGCUUGCGUUGAUUACGUCCCUGCCCUUUGUACACACCGCCCGUCGCUCCUACCGAUUGAGUGAUCAGGUGAACUCUUUGGACACCGCCUCCCGGUGCGUGGAAGUUGAGUAAAUCUUAUUACUUAGAGGAAGGAGAAGUCGUAACA
rnacentral:rRNA from 1 species